rnacentral:rRNA from 1 species
UACGUAGGGGGCUAGCGUUGUCCGGAUUUAUUGGGCGUAAAGAGCGUGUAGGCGGCCAGGUAGGUCCGUUGUGAAAACUCGGAGGCUCAACCUCGAGACGUCGGCGGAAACCAUCUGGCUAGAGUCCGGAAGAGGAGAGUGGAAUUCCUGGUGUAGCGGUGAAAUGCGCAGAUAUCAGGAAGAACACCCGUGGCGAAGGCGGGUCUCUGGACAGUUCCUGACGCUGAGGCACGAAGGCCAGGGGAGCAAACGGG